rnacentral:rRNA from 1 species
AGGCGGCCAUAGCACGAGGGUUCCACCCCUCCCCAUUCCGAACAGGGAAGUUAAGCCUCGUCGCGCCGAUGGUACUGAGAAAUCGGGAGAGUAGGUCACC